CUGCGAAUGGCUCAUUAAAUCAGUUAUCGUUUAUUUGAUAGUACCUUACUACUUGGAUAACCGUGGUAAUUCUAGAGCUAAUACAUGCUAAAAACCCCGACUCACGAAGGGGUGUAUUUAUUAGAUUAAAAACCAAUGCCCUUCGGGGCUCUCUGGUGAUUCAUAAUAACUUCUCGAAUCGCAUGGCCUUGCGCCGGCGAUGGUUCAUUCAAAUUUCUGCCCUAUCAACUUUCGAUGGCAGGGUCUUGGCCUGCCAUGGUUACAACGGGUAACGGAGGGUUAGGGCUCGACCCCGGAGAAGGAGCCUGAGAAACGGCUACUACAUCCAAGGAAGGCAGCAGGCGCGCAAAUUACCCAAUCCCGAUUCGGGGAGGUAGUGACAAUAAAUACUGAUACAGGGCUCUUUUGGGUCUUGUAAUUGGAAUGAGUACAAUUUAAAUCCCUUAACGAGGAACAAUUGGAGGGCAAGUCUGGUGCCAGCAGCCGCGGUAAUUCCAGCUCCAAUAGCGUAUAUUAAAGUUGUUGCAGUUAAAAAGCUCGUAGUUGAACCUUGGGCCUGGCUGGCCGGUCCGCCUCACCGCGUGCACUGGUUCGGCCGGGCCUUUCCCUCUGGGGAGCCUCAUGCCCUUCACUGGGUGUG
rnacentral:rRNA from 1 species